rnacentral:rRNA from 2 species
GGUGCUUGCAUCAUGAUUUACAUUUGAGUGAGUGGCGAACUGGUGAGUAACACGUGGGAAACCUGCCCAGAAGCGGGGGAUAACACCUGGAAACAGAUGCUAAUACCGCAUAACAACUUGGACCGCAUGGUCCGAGCUUGAAAGAUGGCUUCGGCUAUCACUUUUGGAUGGUCCCGCGGCGUAUUAGCUAGAUGGUGGGGUAACGGCUCACCAUGGCAAUGAUACGUAGCCGACCUGAGAGGGUAAUCGGCCACAUUGGGACUGAGACACGGCCCAAACUCCUACGGGAGGCAGCAGUAGGGAAUCUUCCACAAUGGACGAAAGUCUGAUGGAGCAACGCCGCGUGAGUGAAGAAGGGUUUCGGCUCGUAAAACUCUGUUGUUAAAGAAGAACAUAUCUGAGAGUAACUGUUCAGGUAUUGACGGUAUUUAACCAGAAAGCCACGGCUAACUACGUGCCAGCAGCCGCGGUAAUACGUAGGUGGCAAGCGUUGUCCGGAUUUAUUGGGCGUAAAGCGAGCGCAGGCGGUUUUUUAAGUCUGAUGUGAAAGCCUUCGGCUCAACCGAAGAAGUGCAUCGGAAACUGGGAAACUUGAGUGCAGAAGAGGACAGUGGAACUCCAUGUGUAGCGGUGAAAUGCGUAGAUAUAUGGAAGAACACCAGUGGCGAAAGCGGCUGUCUGGUCUGUAACUGACGCUGAGGCUCGAAAGUAUGGGUAGCAAACAGGAUUAGAUACCCUGGUAGUCCAUACCGUAAACGAUGAAUGCUAAGUGUUGGAGGGUUUCCGCCCUUCAGUGCUGCAGCUAACGCAUUAAGCAUUCCGCCUGGGGAGUACGGCCGCAAGGCUGAAACUCAAAGGAAUUGACGGGGGCCCGCACAAGCGGUGGAGCAUGUGGUUUAAUUCGAAGCUACGCGAAGAACCUUACCAGGUCUUGACAUACUAUGCAAAUCUAAGAGAUUAGACGUUCCCUUCGGGGACAUGGAUACAGGUGGUGCAUGGUUGUCGUCAGCUCGUGUCGUGAGAUGUUGGGUUAAGUCCCGCAACGAGCGCAACCCUUAUUAUCAGUUGCCAGCAUUAAGUUGGGCACUCUGGUGAGACUGCCGGUGACAAACCGGAGGAAGGUGGGGAUGACGUCAAAUCAUCAUGCCCCUUAUGACCUGGGCUACACACGUGCUACAAUGGAUGGUACAACGAGUUGCGAACUCGCGAGAGUAAGCUAAUCUCUUAAAGCCAUUCUCAGUUCGGAUUGUAGGCUGCAACUCGCCUACAUGAAGUCGGAAUCGCUAGUAAUCGCGGAUCAGCAUGCCGCGGUGAAUACGUUCCCGGGCCUUGUACACACCGCCCGUCACACCAUGAGAGUUUGUAACACCCA